rnacentral:rRNA from 1 species
AGAGUUUGAUCAUGGCUCAGAUUGAACGCUGGCGGAAUGCUUUACACAUGCAAGUCGAACGGCAGCACGGACUUCGGUCUGGUGGCGAGUGGCGAACGGGUGAGUAAUAUAUCGGAACGUAUCCAAUAAUGGGGGAUAACUAAUCGAAAGGUUGGCUAAUACCGCAUACGCCCUACGGGGGAAAGCUAGGGACCUUCGGGCCUGGCGUUAAUGGAGCGGCUGAUAUCUGAUUAGCUAGUUGGUGAGGUAAAGGCUCACCAAGGCGACGAUCAGUAGCUGGUCUGAGAGGACGACCAGCCACACUGGAACUGAGACACGGUCCAGACUCCUACGGGAGGCAGCAGUGGGGAAUUUUGGACAAUGGGCGCAAGCCUGAUCCAGCCAUUCCGCGUGAGUGAAGAAGGCCUUCGGGUUGUAAAGCUCUUUCGCAAGGGAAGAAAAAUUACGCUCUAACAUAGCGUGAUGAUGACGGUACCUUGAUAAGAAGCACCGGCUAACUACGUG